rnacentral:rRNA from 1 species
AAACUUAAAGGAAUUGACGGGGGAGCACCACAACGGGUGGAGCUUGCGGUUUAAUUUGGAUUCAACGCCGGAAAUCUUACCGGGACCGACAGCAAUAUGAAGGCCAGGCUGAAGACUUUGCCGGAUUAGCUGAGAGGUGGUGCAUGGCCGUCGUCAGUUCGUACUGUGAAGCAUCCUGUUAAGUCAGGCAACGAGCGAGACCCACGCCCACAGUUGCCAGCGUACUCUCCCGGAGUGACGGGUACACUGUGGGACCGCCGCUGCUAAAGCGGAGGAAGGAAUGGGCAACGGUAGGUCAGUAUGCCCCGAAUAUCCCGGGCUACACGCGAGCUACAAUGGUUGGUACAAUGGGUAUCUACCCGAAAGGGGACGGAAAUCUCCUAAAACCAAUCUUAGUUCGGAUUGUAGGCUGCAACUCGCCUACAUGAAGUCGGAAUCGCUAGUAAUCGCGGAUCAGCACGCCGCGGUGAAUACGUUCCCGGGCCUU